GACGAACGCUGGCGGCGUGCUUAACACAUGCAAGUCGAGCGGAAAGGCCCUUCGGGGUACUCGAGCGGCGAACGGGUGAGUAACACGUGAGUGAUCUGCCUCUGGCUUCGGGAUAGCCACCGGAAACGGUGAUUAAUACCGGAUACGACGCAUCACUGCAUGGUGUGUGCGUGGAAAGUUUUUUCGGCCAGGGAUGUGCUCGCGGCCUAUCAGCUUGUUGGUGGGGUAAUGGCCUACCAAGGCUUCGACGGGUAGCCGGCCUGAGAGGGUGACCGGCCACACUGGGACUGAGACACGGCCCAGACUCCUACGGGAGGCAGCAGUGGGGAAUAUUGGACAAUGGGCGGAAGCCUGAUCCAGCAACGCCGCGUGAGGAAUGACGGCCUUCGGGUUGUAAACCUCUUUCAGCACAGACGAAGCGCAAGUGACGGUAUGUGCAGAAGAAGGACCGGCCAACUACGUGCCAGCAGCCGCCGUAAGAC
rnacentral:rRNA from 1 species